GACGAACGCUGGCGGCGUGCUUAACACAUGCAAGUCGAGCGGAGCGGCGAACGGGUGAGUAACGCGUGAGUAACUGCCCCCCUCUCUGGGAUAACAGUUGGAAACGGCUGCUAAUACCGGAUAGUGGGGGAUGACUCGCGUCCUAUCAGCUUGUUGGUGGGGUAGUGGCCUACCAAGGCGACGCCGGGGAGCCGGCCUGAGAAGGUGACCGGCAACAUUGAGCUGAGAAACGGCACAGGCUCGUACGGGAGGCAGCAGUGGGGAAUAUUGCACAAUGGGCGAAAGACUGAUGCAGCGACGCCGAGUAGGGGAUGAAGGCUUUAGGGUUGUAAACCUCUUUCGCUAUCGAAAGGGUAGGUGGAGAAGAAGCGCCGGCUAACUACGUGCCAGCAGCCGCGGUAAUAC
rnacentral:rRNA from 1 species